AGGAAACCAACCUUUAGGCCCACUGAUGAUAUAAAGAAACUGAAAUUCACCAGAUCAUUCCAUCUGGAGAAUGAGACCACAGCCUCCUCACUCAUCUUGAUUGCCAAACGAAUCACACGUUGCCUGCUGACCAACUACUCGUCCUUACCCCUCCCUAAUUGCUGUUUUUCUGCAGGUGGUCUGGCUCCAGAACUCCUGCUCCGAACUGUCAUCAUGCACUUCAUAUCUAGUCUAUGUUUCUUAACAUGAAAUCAUCAAAACAAACAGGUAUGACAAGCUUUUUGGACAGAACAAUGGUUUCAUGCAUUAUUUUUAGAAGCAAAACUCUAUAAGCCAUGACAAUUUCCAGGAAUAGCAUUGAUUCAUUAAAAUAACCUUUACUUAUUUGUGAGUAUAAAAUCAUGCAGUAUGGUAGUUCAAUUUGUAUUUUUCACAGAGUCAAAAAAGUUGUGAAUGUUUGUUACCUAGUCAUAUUUUCACUUGUGAGAAUUGUUUUUAUAUCUUUUGAAAAUAUGGCAUGUGGAGAUUUGAUUGUAUUUUUUGUUUUGAAACUAAGAUAAACAUUAAAAUUUACCUGUUGUAACAUGUACACAUAUAUUUCCUAGUUUGUGUUUUUGUUGUAACUUUGUUAUUCAUUUUAGUUUUAGAUGUAUACAUUAAAUUUGUAAAUGUGUUUUAGCUUUACAUUUUCAUUUUGAACUUUUAAAUUCGUUUCAUUUUUAAAUGUUCUGGUCUGCGUUUCUGUCAACCUCAAAGUUGGAGGCAUUAUUACUUCCAAUCGAGACUAUCUUUAGCUUUUUAAUGUUUUACCCCUUCAUCCACUUGGAGUUUAUUUUGGUAUAUAAAUUUGCAUCUAAGUAUUUUUGUUCCAACGAUAGCUAUGAAAAGUCUAUUUAUUUUGUCUUCCCAGGUGAAACUCUAAAAUCUAUCAUAUGGAAUUAGUCAUGGUUCCCUCCACUACCAUUCACCUGAAAAUAUUGACAUUUAUCCACCUACAUAAUCAAGUCCUAGAACCUGAAAAAAAAUCUCAUUAUCCCAUGCCACAUCUCAGUAACUAUAUGUCUUCGGAGCAUACCGCAAUUCCAGGAAGAAAAUGUGAGAAAUCUUCUCUGGAAUGAGAGCCCAGGACUUGGCUGCCAGUAACUGCUGCAGGAGAAACAGCCUUCUCUCCCCUGCGUUUGUGUUUCCAGCAUCCCGGCCUCCCUCCACACUCUGUUACUUCCCUGGUGGAAGAGGGAGAGGAUUAUCUGAGUGGGAAGUUCAGAGAGAAGAAGCUGGCAGGCAUGGUUAAUCCCUUCACUCCUUUCUCUGGGAUUCACCUCUCUGCAAGCUGUUUCUUCUUGACUCUUGGCUUUUGUGCAUUUACAAUAAGACCCCAGGCUCCAGGAAGGGAGCCCGGUGGUAGCACAGACACCUAUGGCUGGGAGGAUGGGUCUCCUAGUUCUAGGGCUCAUUGUUCAGAAGUCCCUAGUACUGCAGUCCUCAGCCAUAUCUUCCCCCAUAGCAGUAAUAAGGCUGAUAUUUUUAUCUCCCUCUACCAAACCUCUGCAUUUAUCUCUUAGGUGGUUCCAAGUCUGAGUGAGUGAGUGUCACUGGUUUUCUUUAAGUCCUCACAGGAAUCCAAGAUCAAGAAUAAAUGUGUUGAAAGAAAUUAAAAUAUUAGCAUCGUAUAUACUUAAAGAUUCAAGAUUCACUUGAUCUACUUAAUUGAAUAUUAGCAAAGAUAAAAGACACGUUCUCAUUUUUCUUCUCUUUGAAGCCUCAUAUAUUCAUGCUUGGGGGCUCAGGAGGCUAAAACAUACUGAGAAUAUACACAUCUGUCUUCCCAAAUCUCUCCUCAAUUUUCACAAAACAUGUUUAAAAACUAUUAAUCUUGUAAACAAAAAAUAUUUGGUUUACUCUUAUAUUUAGAAAACUCUAAAUGUCAAGGAAGCAAAAGUUACAGGUGUGGAAUGCACUACCCUUAAAUUUAGGGUGAACAGGUGAUGGCAGCUGCCACCUGUGGGUUGCAGGGAGUUGACUGUGUGGACUCUUGCUCAUGAUGGCCUGUGAGUAUUCACCUAACACUAUCUGAUAGCAAUAUUUUACAGAAAUUGUCAAAUGCCUCUAGUUUCUUUGCAACAGUCUUAAAGUAAUAAGUGGCCAGACAAUAGAUUAUAAAAUAUAGGGAUGCAUCCCUCUCAAGUUCAGGUCAGGUAUUGUCUACCCCCAGCCCUAGACUAUGGGGCCCUGGAAGGUAAAUUCUCCUUCUUAUUAUUAGCUUUGUUAUCAGAUUGCCUCACAGUACUUAUGUAUAGCUGGCAAUAAAUAUUGCCUAAAACAACAUAAUUGGAUAAUCUGCUAAUGGUAAACAUGAGUCUCAAUAAGAGAACAGAAAAAGUAAGACGAUCUGUUGAGCUUUCUUGUGAGCUAUAUGGUGAAUAAAGUGUUUCUAAUGGUUUCGUGUCUUUUAGAUUUCAGGAUAAAUAGGUGCAUAUGAAUCAGCUGAUUUCUGUUACUGGAGUGCAGUAGUAGUACAGAUUUCCCAAGCUUUGAAUCAACAAACGCAGAAGUCUCUCUAACAUUAGGCCCCUUCCCACUUGUUAUUUUGUUGUUCAUUGCUAUGGGUUACCACAUCUCAUUCUGGAGAAAACAAAGCAGGUUUUCCAAAGUCAGGAAAUCUUACACAUCUUUCCAGAGAAGACCUUAUAUUCGACCCCAUCUCAGUUUCCUCGCCUAACGUAGGAAGCAGGAGACUUCUCCAGUGUCACAAAGCUGAUCAGGCAUGAAAACUGAGUCUCUUAACUCACACACUAGAGUUUUUUGUUUAGCAGUUGUGACCUGGGGUAGACGCUCACUGCAUGUAUUGCCUUUAAGAUGCCUGCUUUUGCACAAUUCACAAUUGCAAAGAUAGGGAACCAACCUAAUCGGCGAUCCACUGAUGAGCGGUAACGAAAAUAUGGUACAUACACACUAUGGAUACUAUUCAGUUAUAAAAAAAGAAUGAAAUGAUGUCUUCUGCAGUAACUUGGAGGGAACUGGAGGCUAUUUUUCUAAAUGAAGUAACUUGGGAAAGGAAAACCAAACACUGCAUGGGAGCUAAGCCAUGGGCAUGCAAGGGCAUACGGGGUGGUUAAUGAACAUUGGAGACCCAGAAGCGUG
rnacentral:lncRNA from 1 species